AUUGAACGCUGGCGGUAUGCUUAAGACAUGCAAGUCGAACGGUAACAGGUUAAGCUGACGAGUGGCGGACGAGUGAGUAACGCGUGGGAAUCUACCUUGUAGUGGGGGAUAAGCCAGGGAAACUUGGACUAAUACCGCAUACGCCCUAAGGGGGAAAGGCGCAAGUCGCUAUAAGAUGAGCCCGCGUCUGAUUAGGUAGUUGGUGGGGUAAAGGCCUACCAAGCCGACGAUCAGUAGCUGGUCUGAGAGGAUGAUCAGCCACGUCGGGACUGAGACACGGCCCGGACUCCUACGGGAGGCAGCAGUCGGGAAUAUUGGACAAUGGGGGAAACCCUGAUCCAGCAAUACCGCGUGUGUGAAGAAGGCCUGCGGGUUGUAAAGCACUUUCAGUUGGGAAGAUAAUGACGUUACCAACAGAAG
rnacentral:rRNA from 1 species